UGUGAUACACUCUCGACGAGUCGAGUUGUUUGGGAAUGCAGCUCUAAAUGGGUGGUAAAUNCCAUCUAAAGCUAAAUAUUGGCGAGAGACCGAUAGCGAACAAGUACCGUGAGGGAAAGAUGAAAAGCACUUUGGAAAGAGAGUGAAACAGUACGUGAAAUUGUUGAAAGGGAAACGCUUGAAGUCAGUCGCGCCGUUCGGGAUUCAGCCUUGCUUCUGCUCGGUUUACUUCCCGUUGGGUGGGUCAACAUCAGUUUCGGUCGGAGGAGAAAGACUUGGGGAAGGUGGCAGCAUUCGUGCUGUGUUAUAGCCCCGUGUUGUAUACUUCGACUGGGACUGAGGACCGCAGCACGCCUCUGGCCGGGGUUCGCCCACGUACGUGCUUAGGAUGUUGGCAUAAUGGCUUUAAGCGACCCGUCUUGAAACACGGACCAAGGAGUCUAACAUGUGCGCGAGUGUUUGGGUGUUAAACUCGGACGCGAAAUGAAAGUGAAAAGUUGGGAACACGUCUGUGUGCACCGACGCCCGGAGCUGACCUUCUGUGACGCAUCUGCGGUAGAGCGUAUAUGUUGGGACCCGAAAGAUGGUGAACUAUGCCUGAAUAGGGUGAAGCCAGAGGAAACUCUGGUGGAGGCUCGUAGCGAUUCUGACGUGCAAAUCGAUCGUCAAA
rnacentral:rRNA from 1 species